rnacentral:misc_RNA from 1 species
GUUCUCAACACUUUGCGUUUCUGCACCAAAAAUUCUUCCAAACUGUACAAUUUUCCUAGAAAACACCUUCAAUUUCCCUCUUUCUUCCCCAGAAACUUCAAUUCUAUCAAUGGCAAGCUGUACACUCAUGGAUUAUUUCUCAAUUCGUCAAGUUCAUUCUCCAAUACUACCCAGGAAACUCCGUCUCAGAAACUCGCUCUUCUUCUCGAAGUUGAAGGGGUAUUAAUGGAUGUGGACCGAUUGGGCAACCGCCA